AAGAAAGUCAUAGUGGCUAUGGGGCUGGCUUGAAACCAGUUUUAGGAGGUUCGAUUCCUUCCUUUCUUG
ensembl:Mt_tRNA